ACGGCGGUGUACUCCCAGACCCCGUCGGCGUCGAGCAGUGCGCUCUGGCCGAAGCGGUCGCCGUCGGCGAGGACACCGGUCACGGUCUCGUCGCCGUAGGGGCCUUCCGAGAUCUGCUCGAUCCGGCCGUGGGCGAUCAGGUGGAUCUGCUCGGCGGGGGUGCCGCGCUCCACGAUCACCUCACCGGCGCGGAAGUCGCGCUGGACGCACCGGCCCGCGAUCGCGGACAGCACCUCGGCGUCGUCGAAGCCGCGCAGCAGGGAGAGUUCACCGAGUUCCUGGGGGAUCACCCGGACCUCGGCACCGUCCUGGACGAACUCGAUGCGUCCGUCGCCCACGGUGUAGGUGAGACGGCGGUUCACCCGGUACGUUCCGCCGGAGACCUCGACCCACGGCAGCAUCCUGAGCAGCCAGCGGGAGGUGAUCUCCUGCAUCUGCGGGGCGGAUUUGGUCGUGGUGGCGAGGUUGCGGGCAGCCGCAGUGCCCAGGCUGCUCUGCGGGCGCGG
rnacentral:antisense_RNA from 1 species